AAGUCGUAACAAGGUUUCCGUAGGUGAACCUGCGGAAGGAUCAUUAAUGAAUUCACUAUGGAGUUGUUGCUGGCCUCUAGGGGCAUGUGCACGCUUCACUAGUCUUUCAACCACCUGUGAACUUUUGAUAGAUCUGUGAAGUCGUCCUUCAAGUCGUCAGACUUGGUUUGCUGGGAUUUAAACGUCUCGGUGUGACAACGCAGUCUAUUUACUUAACACACCCCAAAUGUAUGUCUACGAAUGUCAUUUAAUGGGCCUUGUGCCUAUAAACCAUAAUACAACUUUCAACAACGGAUCUCUUGGCUCUC
rnacentral:misc_RNA from 2 species